rnacentral:rRNA from 1 species
UUUUAUAGCCAAGCUGCUGUGGUUGUGCCUGAUCUCAUAGGUUAGGCAGGGUCAAGCCUGGUCAGUGCUCGGACAGGGGACCACCUGAGAAUACCUGAUGCUGUUGCUA